CAUUUCACCCCCCCUUUAAAAACAAAUUAACAAACAAAAAAAAUCUGGAUCUCCAGGUCUGCCAUGCAAAUCAACUGUUCCUGCUCAUCUCCAGACUGGAUCACUUCUCUCCACUUUCUCUAAUUGAAGAAUCAGUUAUUAGAUCUGUCAGCUUUAAGAAUUGUAUACUUAGAUUUUUGGGGUGAAUCAAACUGUAACACUGUGUGUCCCAACCAGAUGUGAGGCUAUGCAAUAAAAAGUGUGUAUUCCAUGUAGGGACAGCUGUAGGGGAAAAGCUGUUCCUGAGUCUGCUGGUUCUUGUACCCGUGUAUUUUCCGGAAUCGCAGUGUAAAGGGGGCUAUGGUUGAUGAGGGGUGAAUACUUAGGGGUAAGAAACAAAGAAAGGUGAUCAGAUUGUCCCAGGUGGGGGGUGGGGUCACAAUGUAAGCUCCAUCAAAGUUUUGUCUCCUUUAGUAUGGCAGGAAACAUGUUGAUGGAACUAUACAGCUAAAUUGGGAACACUGCAUGCAGCAUUAUUCAAUGUGGUGGCGUAAUUUCAACUUGAUCAGGAAGACAGGGCGGGACAUAUCAAGCAGCCCAGCCCCCUUUUUAAAAUAGCCAAUAGCAUUUUGUUUAUAUCUGCUUGGGCCAUUGAGCUCGGUAAAGCCAGAUUUGACAGACCCCUCCCUAGAUUCAGUACUAAAAAAAAUAAGGGUCAUAAUCAUGCUGAGGCUGUGUAGUUUUAAAAGUGUUUAAUACAUGCCGACUCGUGCAUAUGAUCUCAUCUCAGGACAAGAUCAGACUGUGAGCACUUCCGCUGUUCGCGUGACCAGACGAAACCACACCUCAUUUGCCCCAAUCGAAAGCACCGUACAGGAAAUACUACUGUGAACAUGUGACCAGUCUCAGCCGUAUCUUAUUUAUAGUGUUGGUAAUCCUGAAUCUAAUCCAGUCCUAGCAUCAGUCACCCUGCCAGUGAGGAAUACGGCGAAGAGGCCGUCCUGUGAGAUAAGAGACCUACACCGGACAGCAUGACCUUCAGAGGACUGGACUGAACUUGGACUGUGUUUAGGCAGCAUGAGAGAGAACAACCUCAUGCUGAAGCCAUGAGUCACUGCCAUCAACCUCAUUUAAACCAUAGCGCUGAUGUCACUGGAUAUGUUAAAUAGGGCAGCAGGCCAGGCACACGUGUACCUCUCUGAAGAAGGCCAGUUCAGUGGAAACUAGCAAGCAAACACACCGAAAAGGACACACACUCCGUCAAUGUCAGCAAAUAUUUGGUCACAACUUUGAAGUGACAGUCGUUUGAAACAGGGAUGACGUUGUCUCUGUUAGAGCAGGUGAAUGUGCAAGUUUGCUGUUUAAAAUCAGUGUGAUUGAUUCAUUGCCAUGUAUUCUGAGCUUUUUACUAGUAAUGAUGUACAAGUCUUAGCUUUCGUAAGACCAACAUGGCCAGGUAUUUUUAGAAACAGGCUGUGAUGUAACGUGACAACAUGCUGCUGUCACCUGCGAGACCAGCUGUGCUGAUGGCUCAGAGAAAUGGACUAAUGAGAGUCCUGAAGAGAAUGUGAUGCAUUGAAUAGUGGAGUUAUAUAAAGAUGGUUUACCACUUAAAGGGAUACUCCACCCCAAAAUGAAACUUUUAUCAUUAAUCACUUACCACCAUGUCGUUCCAAUCUGGUAAAAGAUUUGUCUUCAGAACACAAUUUAAGAUAUUUUGGAUGAAAACCUGGAGGCUUGUGACUGUCACAUAGACUGACAAGUAAACUAAACUGCCAAGGUCCAGAAAAGUAUGUAAAGCAUCGUCAGAAUAGUCCAUCUGCCUUCAGUGGUUCAACCGUAACGUUAUGAAGCGACAAGAAUACUUUUUGUAUGAGAAGAAAACAAAAAUAAUGACUUUAUUCUACAAGUUUCCUCUGUCUCUCCCCACAUCACUUUAGUGCCAUUUUGGAAAACACCUGCUGAACGGAAGAUAGAUUGCAAUCUACCAAACAGCUCCAUAUAACACGUAUACUCUGUUAUACAGCUCCAUAUAAUACAUAAAUAUAAUAAAUAAUUGUGAAUAACCUUUAAAGAUCUUCUUUUUCUUUUUGUAAUGCAUUUUAUUCACCAGGCUGACAUUUAUAGUUGGAUGCGUUGGACAGCAAUCCACAAGUCAUUCUUUUAGGUUAGGCUAUUUCAUAUAUGUUAAUAUAAAAGCAAUUAUGCUAGCAUUCUUUUACGUUCCUGAGCAUCCACUCACAUGUUUAACUUUUAGUCUGCUUGUUAUGUAAAAAAAAAAAAAAAAAAAAAAACUUUAUU